ensembl:lncRNA
UACUCUGAAUUGCUUCUUCAGGCCCUCACAUGCAUUUGUGAUAGGCUGUGGGUGCCUGGAAGAGUCAUCAUUUCCUGGAUUCUAACUGCUCUUUUCCUUUUCCCCUUCCCUCUCUGCUCCCUCAAGACAUAUUGGAUGUUUUUCUUUUUUGGAGGAAGCCAGUCCUUUUGUAUCCUGCUGGGCUCAUAAGUUGUUGGUGGGUUGUUAGUAAGCAGUCAUGGUUUCUAGCCAGCUCGCCGACUUUUGCCCCUAGCUGUUGCUGAUAUCCAUCAGGGGAACGAGGGUGAUGGUCAGACUUCUUUUCGUUUACAGAGAGCCAUCCCAGCGAAAUGGCUUAAUGAAACAAACCAGGCAGCUCGCAUGAGGAAGAAAGCCCCGUCCCAUUUUGUGCAGCUGAUCCCAUCCUAUCUCUCUCCGCAUUGCGGAGGGAAAAUUCAGUCAGGACGUGGGUGGGAGCUAUAAGAGCUUCGUAUCUGUCUGGAGCUGUGUGAGGCUCUGGGGCAGUAAGAGAGACCGAGGAUGGGCUUUAUAGGCUGGGAGAUCCGAUCUUUGCCUUUGAGAGACGCAGGUGAGAGCAAAAGCAUUGAUGAGCAUGAGGCUACAAUGCAGCAUCGUGUUUUUUAGUAUCAUUAGUACCUAUAAUAAAAUAGCAUCCUAUAGAUAGUAAGCCGGGACAGUGUGCCAGUGUUAAGAACUUUUCCCGUAUUAAUUCACGUAAGCAAUAAGUAUUAAUAUUAUAUGUAAAAACCGCAAGUGGAUGGUUAAACUCAAUCUCUCAGCAUUUGCUGUGUGUCUCACAUGAGGGUACUCGUCUGGGCUUGCAGCUGUGCAUGGGGGUCCCUCUGAGACCCUCCCCCCUGUGUCCAGCGUGGGGACACAGACAUAUGAUUUUGUACAUGGUGACAACCCCAUGGUGAGGUGGUUCUUCUCAAGAGAUGUCAGGCUGGUGCUGGAGCCCGGGGAACGAAGCAGUUGAUUUAAUGCUGAGUGAUGUUAUAUUGUAUGUCCCCACCACAUUUUGUUUAUCUGUUCAUCUGUGGAUGGAUACUUACGUUGCUUCCACCUCCCGGCUAUUGUGAAUAACGCGGCUGUGAACACAGAGGUACAGCUAUCGCUGGGUCAUAUGGUAAUUCUCUGUUUAAUUUUUGGGGAAAACUGUCAUACUAAUUUCCACAGCAGCUGCACCAUUUUACAUUCCCACUAGCAAUGCACACGGGUUCCUGUUUCUCCACAUCCUCAACAGCACUUGUUAUUAUUUUUUUAGUAGUAGCCGUCCUAAUAAGUAUGAAGUUGUAUCUCAUUGUGGUUUUUAUUUGCAUUUCAAUAAUGACUAGUGAUAUUGAGCAUCUUUUUGUGUGCUUAUCCACUGCUUGUAUAUCUUCUUUGGAGAAAUUUGUUGUUGUUGUUGAGUUGCAGGAGUUCUUUAUAUAUGCUGGAUAUUAACCCCUUUUCGGGUAUAUGAUUUGCAAAUAUUUUCUCCCAUUCUGUGGGUUGUCUUUUCACUCUCUUGAAAGUGUCUUUGGAUGCACAGGUGUUUUAGUUUUGAUGAAGUCCAACUUAUCUAUUUUUUCUUUUGUUGCCUGGGCUUUUGCAGGCUGUACCCCUUUGGUGUGAUGAGUGGGUGAGAAAUGGCUUGUGGACACCUGUCUGGUGUCCUGUGCUCCCGGGAGUUGGGAUGACAGAGGUGUGAGGAGGGGCCUCUGUUUUGCUGCCUGGAGGAGCCUGUGCUUUCCUGAGGCUUCUGUGGUGGGACAUUUUAGUCUUGUUCCCAUCCAUUCUGUGAGAAGUUAAGGUCUUGAGCAUGGUGUCAUAGGGGCUGUCGAUGGGUUGGGAUUGAUGGCACAGUUCUUGUGUAUUCGUUUCCCUUUAUUCAAUGCCUCCUAGGUGCCAAGAUUUAAUAAUUCUCAUAGCAAUCCCAAGGGCUAAAUGUUUUCCGAUCCUCUUCUCACAGUUGUGAAAACGGAGGCUCAGAGCCAUCAGACAUUACGCUAGCAAGCUUCCUCCCAAGCUUCCUCGGACUCCUGACCACGUUCCCCAGGCUGCCUGCUCCCUACCCCAGAAAUGUCAAACGCAUUGCACUAAAUGCCAGGACUCUGAUCCCAGAUGGACAGAGGGCGCCCCACGGGGGCAGGGGGCGGCUGGAUCUUUGAGCCUGAUGGAAGUGACACUAGCCCGCUAUAUUUACAGUCCUCGUUGUGCUUCUCCGGUGUCUCCGGAAGUCAUAGCCCGCAGGCCGGCCCGCGCUCUGCGGGAUGACAGGAAGUUAUGUGCCAGCACUGUUGGCUUGCUGAGUGGACACUGGCCUGGUGGUCAUAGGGGAGAUGGGGCAGAACAGGCAGGGCUGGUGGGAAGGAGGAAACCACUACAAACAACUCAGACCGUCUUGUGGACAGAUUCCUGGAUUAUUACACGGCCACUCAAA